AUUGAACGCUGGCGGCAUGCCUUACACAUGCAAGUCGAACGGCAGCACGGGAGCAAUCCUGGUGGCGAGUGGCGAACGGGUGAGUAAUAUAUCGGAACGUGCCCAGUCGUGGGGGAUAACGUAGCGAAAGCUACGCUAAUACCGCAUACGAUCUAUGGAUGAAAGCGGGGGACCGUAAGGCCUCGCGCGAUUGGAGCGGCCGAUGUCGGAUUAGCUAGUUGGUAGGUAAAGGCCUACCAAGGCGACGAUCCGUAGCGGGUCUGAGAGGAUGAUCCGCCACACUGGGACUGAGACACGGCCCAGACUCCUACGGGAGGCAGCAGUGGGGAAUUUUGGACAAUGGGCGAAAGCCUGAUCCAGCCAUGCCGCGUGAGUGAAGAAGGCCUCGG
rnacentral:rRNA from 1 species